rnacentral:rRNA from 1 species
AUGUUCACACUAUUUACAUCAAAUCCUCAUGCGAAAUCACAGAAAGAGAUACUCUCCCGAGGCGUCUCGGUGGAGGCUUAUAUUACCAAGAAGAUCGCCAUUGCGUUGCAGGAUUUGGUCUCCAAAGAGGCAACCAUCCAAGCCCCCUUUCACUCUUGCUCGGACACCAUGCAGUGUAUUUUUCACUACCAACCAUUGAUUGUUGUCACACUCAUGCAGAUGUUCGACAAGAUAAGGCGGUCGUCAUACCAUGAUGUGGUCAGGGUUGCCGAGUUAAAAGAUGUACUUGAUAUCAAUGAUGUACAAACAUAUGUGAUCAACAGUGCAACAGUUGUUUUUCUUAAUGAGCGACCACAACAACGUGGUUGUGGUGUUUCUGCGGUCAAGGCAUCAUCAUCAUCAUACAAUUGUGAGAGUUGCAAUCGUGCUCUUCUUGACCCAUUCCGCUUCUGCUCCUUGGGUUGCAACCUUAAAGGAAUCAAAGAGGAUAUGAGGACAAACAUUCCAACUAGAGAUUUUAUUGACUAUACAAGAAAGGAUGAUGAUACAGAUUGCAGUAACACAAGUGGAAAUACUGGAAACAAUGAAGAGAGUUGCAGCGAUGCAAAUUAUUGCAAGGAAAAACCAUCUCCACCAAGGGUUAUUCGUCACCGCCGAAAGGGGAUCCCUCAGCGUGCACCUUUUUAUUGA